rnacentral:rRNA from 1 species
UGCUAGGAACCCGGGUGAAAGGCCUGGGUGCCCGCGAGGGAGCCCUAGCACAGGUGCUGCAUGGCUGUCGUCAGCUCGUGUCGUGAGAUGUUGGUUAAGUCCCGCAACGACGCGCAACCCUUGUUUACUAGUUGCCAUCAUUUGGUUGGGCACUCUAGUGAGACUGCCGGUGACAAACCGGAGGAAGGUGGGGAUGACGUCAAGUCCUCAUGGCCCUUAUGGGUAGGGCUUCACACGUCAUACAAUGGUCGGGUACAGAGGGUUGCCAAGCCGCGAGGUGGAGCCAAAUCCCUUAAAGCCGAUCGUAGUCCGGAUCGUAGUCCGCAACUCGACUACGUGAAGUCGGAAUCGCUAGUAAUCGCAGGUCAGCAUGCUGGCGGUGAAUACCGGUUCCCGGGUCUU